CGGCCCCUACCGUGUCCGCGUUCAAUUUGGUCUUGUUAUGAGCCAACACCAUAACAAAGGGAACCUGAACUCUGUCUGGCUAGGGCGGGCCAUCCUCGAAUGGAAGCCCGAAUCAGUCAGGAGGGUACCCACCUGCAUAAGCAGGUUCAUACCGGCCAAUAUUAGCGGCAUGGCGGGGGCAGA
rnacentral:other from 1 species